rnacentral:rRNA from 1 species
UACGGGGGGUGCGAGCGUUGUCCGGAAUCACUGGGCGUAAAGGGCGCGUAGGUGGUCUGAUAAGGGUGUGGUGAAAGCCCGGGGCUCAACCCCGGGUCGGCCGUGCCGACUGUUAGACUAGAGUACUGUAGGGGCAGGCGGAAUUCCGGGUGUAGCGGUGGAAUGCGUAGAGAUCCGGAGGAAGACCGGUGGCGAAGGCGGCCUGCUGGGCAGUACUGACACUGAGGCGCGACAGCGUGGGGAGCAAACAGGG